CCAUAUGUUUCGUCCUAAUUGGU
rnacentral:siRNA from 1 species